UAAUCAACAGACGCGCGUCAACAAUAGGAAUUAUUGAGAUAACAAUAAUCAGUGCGCGUAGAUAAUUAAAAGACGCGCGUCAACAAUCAAAAUUGGUAAGAUAACAAUGAGCAGUGCGCGUAAAUAAUCAACAGACGCGCGUAAACAAUCAGAAUUAGUGAGAUAAUAAUGAUCAGUGCACGUAGAUAAUCAACAAACGCGCGUAAACAAUCAGAAUUGGUGAGAUAACAAUGAUCAGUGCUCGUGGAUAAUCAACAGACGCGCGUAAACUAGCAGAAUUAGUAAGAUAACAAUGAUCAGUGCGCGUAGAUAAUCAACAGACGCAUAAACAAUCAGAAUUUGUGAGAUAACAAUCAACAGUGGGAGUAGAUAAUCAACAGACGCGCGUAAACUAGCAGAAUUAGUAAGAUAACAAUGAUCAGUGCGCGUAGAUAAUCAACAGACGCGCGUGAACAAUCAGAAUUAGUGAGAUAACAAUCAACAGUGUGCGUGGAUAAUCAACAGACGAACGUGAACAAUCAGAAUUAGUGAGAUAACAAUCCACAGUGUGAGUAGAUAAUCAACAGACGCGCGUAAACAAUUAGAAUUAGUGAGAUAACAAUGAUCAUUGCUCGUAGAUAAUCAACAGAUGCUGACAUAAUUUCGUGGAAAUCAGGUAUAAAAAGCGUGCAACUAUAGACAGGUUUUCACAUGUCAACGCAAAGAAAACAAAACCUCAUCAAAUCUACUUGCAAAUAAAUGUUUUUAAAACGUUUACUUUGUAGGAUUAACUUUUAGCGUUUAUGGAAUACAGCUGCAGAUUUAACUAUUUAGCUAUGCUUUUUUUGCUUCAAUAUUUACGAAUGGCUCUCUAAUGCAUUACAGGUUAUCUUGACUGCGUGCGUUCUUAGUUGCGUUUUCAAUCGAAAAGUGAAACUAACUGUGCUUAGCGUAGCAUUCGAUCGCACACGAUUAUAUGGAGACUAGCCUCAAAGGUCCUUCUUUUUUAAAAUUUUUAUUUUUUCUUGUACAUGCAUGUACAUGCUUUCUUUCGUCAUGCGUGCUUAACUUGUAUUUCAAGUACGCGUCCUGCUUUGCGAAAUCUCAAAAGUGAAACUAACUAUGCUUAGCUUGGCAAAACGACAAAAAAAAAAAAACCAGUUCUAUAUCAACAUGUUUGACCAAUGAGAUACGGCUAUUUGGCAUUAAUCAGCAGUAUUAUAGAUGCUGACACAAUUUCGUGGAAAAUUUGUGCUCGUAUAAAGAGCUCGUCUUACGGGUUUCAGCACACAUCUGUCGCUAGAAGCUACGAGAAAACAACCCGAUCUCAUCGUACCCUCGUCAAAAAACAGUAACCUUUAAGAGCUUCAAAAUGCCUGCCAAGCCACAACAAGGGCAGCAAUCCGGGACAAAGAACCCGAUGACCCAAUCAGAUGCGGCCCGUAUCCAGUCUUCAGAGGCCAAAAAGAACGAUGGGGGAGUACCUAAGGGCAGCUUGUCCUCUAGGGCUCAGUCAACUGCUGAUAAACGCGCAAACAAGUCUUAGUAGUUGAGCACCAACAUGCAAUCAUUUAAAAAAUGUAUGUACUUAAUAAUAAAUGAACUUGCUAGGCUUUAGAAUGUAAACUUUGCUGUUAAAAAUAAAACCUAAUUACAGUGUGGUUUGUGAAAA